UUUAUUAUUUUUGAUCAUUUUAUCAAGCUUCAUAAAUUUUGAAAUUGAUUUAGACAGAAUCUAAGACGUUACAGUGGUUACGCAGUGCAAAAAGAAAGAAAAAUAAGACAGCUCUUUAAUAUCUGAAAUAUGUCUUCAGCAGUGCAGCUCUUCAUUUUGGGUACUGGUUCACCAGGUAAGUGUUUAAAAACACAAGACUACUCACCUCUCCCAUUUUAUUUCAAACUCUCUACCCUUUGAAUUUUAUUCACUCUUUGUUUAUAACCCCAACUCGCGACCCUGCACACACGAUAUCACCAGAAACACAUCAACCAGGUAAUGUUUUCUACUCUCUUUCUCUCCAUCACUUUCUUUCUAUUACAUAAUUUUUCUUUUUCUCUUUCUGUCGAUGUAAUUCUUUUGUUGAGGAGCUAGAGCAUAACUGUGCAAUUUGGUGUUGUUGGAUGAUUGGGAUGAAGUAUGAUUGAUUGAUUAUAAUUCUCAUUAAUUUGGAAGGGUAAAUCAAUUGCCUAUAUGUUUCAAACGGUUUGGUUGCACGUAACCUGUUCGAUGAAUUGUCUGAGAGGAAAACUAGUUCGCUGGUGAAGUCUGAGUAACCGAGUGAUACUAGGAGAUGUGAAGAAGUAAGUGGGGGUAGUUCGGGUUGAUUUCAAAGUGUUUUAUUCAGAUUUCUCGAGCUAUACAUUGCAACUAUUGAAAAAAACACUCUUUUGGGCAUCAAAGUGUAGCUAGGCUUGCGAUUUUUCAUCGUGGCUUGUUCCCUAGUAGGUUUUAUGUGUUUGCACGUAGCUGAAUGAAAAGAAUCAUGUUGAUUUCUCUAUUGUGGUGGUUAGGUUAACACUUUGUGCUAAUCAAUGGUAAUGUUGGUUAGGAUAAUUUCCUAAAACACAUUGUUGAUGUUUGAGACAAGUAAUGGCAGUGUGUACAUGCUAAUAAUUUGAUGAAAAGGGACUGUCAUGGCAGUGAUUUUAUUUGUUUGCUGAAUAUUUCCUUGAUUGCCUGUGCAUCAAACACUCCUCUUGAGAGAUUCAUUUUAUGCUAUCUUGAAGCAAUUAACAUUGUGGUGAAGCUUUAUGUGAUGAGAUGCACUGCAAAUUACUGUUUGGGACCAUCUUGUGGUGAGAUCUUUUUUGUUGAAUGAUUACUUGGGUGCUUGGUUAUUAUCAGUAUAUUCUACAUGAUUGGGGGUGAGAGAAUUUGAAGAUAGAAAGCUCAAGGUUUCAGAAGAUGGAAUUCUGGAAUACGAUAAGAAUGGCAUUCCGAUCUCGAGAGAUAUUUUCAACUGUUGGGAUGACUUUAUUUUCUCGCAGGCCUUGUUUGUGGAGGAGUAUAAUGCAAUAUGAAAUAUACUCUGCUAACAUUAAUUUGAUGAUGAAAAGCUGGAUGAGAAUCUGAUGCACCAAACACCAUAUUUCAAAGAUUCCAUCUUGAAGAAUGAUAUGCCAGAAAUGAGAGUUCCAGGUAGGAUCAACCUCCAUUUCUCGUGGCUGAUUGAGGUGCGAGAGUUGCUACUCAGAGUCUUACAGGGUAAGCACGGGGAAGUCCGCCGCCUUGGAGAUUCUUCCUUAUUCUACAUCUUAUUUAUAUUCUGAGACAUAUUCAGACAUUGGUGUAUUUUGUUAUUUUCAGACUUGUAGUAUCUAGUUAGUUGCUCUUGUAUGACUAGACAGAUAUCUGGGGAGGUUUGAUGUAUUCCGCAUAUUCUAUCUAUUAUUACGUCAGACUUACAUGAUUUC